UACAUGGGGUGCAAACGUUGCUCGGAAUUAUUGGGCGUAAAGCGCGCGUAGGCGGUUACUUAAGUCGGAUGUGAAAGCCCUCGGCUUAACUGAGGAAGUGCACCCGAAACUGAGUAGCUAGAGUACGAAAGAGGGUCGCGGAAUUCCCGGUGUAGAGGUGAAAUUCGUAGAUAUCGGGAAGGAACACCGGUGGCGAAGGCGGCGACCUGGGUCGAGACUGACGCUGAGGCGCGAAAGCGUGGGGAGCAAACGGG
rnacentral:rRNA from 1 species